CGCACAAUUGCGUGUUGUGUGUUUGUUCGCUUGCGGUUUUAUUAUUAAUAAAACCGCAAGCGAACAAACACACAACACGCAAUUGUGCG
rnacentral:pre_miRNA from 1 species